AGUCGAGGGGUAUAGUAGCAAUACUAGAGACCGGCGCACGGGUGCGUAACGCGUAUGCAAUCUACCUUUUACAGAGGGAUAGCCCAGAGAAAUUUGGAUUAAUACCUCAUAGCAUAGCAGCUUCGCAUGAAGCCACUAUUAAAGUCACAACGGUAAAAGAUGAGCAUGCGUCCCAUUAGCUAGUUGGUAAGGUAACGGCUUACCAAGGCAACGAUGGGUAGGGGUCCUGAGAGGGAGAUCCCCCACACUGGUACUGAGACACGGACCAGACUCCUACGGGAGGCAGCAGUGAGGAAUAUUGGACAAUGGGCGCAAGCCUGAUCCAGCCAUGCCGCGUGCAGGAUGACGGUCCUAUGGAUUGUAAACUGCUUUUGCACAGGAAGAAACAACAUUACGUGUAAUGUCUUGACGGUACUGUGAGAAUAAGGAUCGGCUAACUCCGUGCCAGCAGCCGCGGUAAUACGGAGGAUCCAAGCGUUAUCCGGAAUCAUUGGGUUUAAAGGGUCCGUAGGCGGUUUAGUAAGUCAGUGGUGAAAGCCCAUCGCUCAACGGUGGAACGGCCAUUGAUACUGCUAGACUUGAAUUAUUAGGAAGUAACUAGAAUAUGUAGUGUAGCGGUGAAAUGCUUAGAGAUUACAUGGAAUACCAAUUGCGAAGGCAGGUUACUACUAAUGGAUUGACGCUGAUGGACGAAAGCGUGGGUAGCGAACAGGAUUAGAUACCCUGGUAGUCCACGCCGUAAACGAUGGAUACUAGCUGUUGGGAGCAAUCUCAGUGGCUAAGCGAAAGUGAUAAGUAUCCCACCUGGGGAGUACGUUCGCAAGAAUGAAACUCAAAGGAAUUGACGGGGGCCCGCACAAGCGGUGGAGCAUGUGGUUUAAUUCGAUGAUACGCGAGGAACCUUACC
rnacentral:rRNA from 1 species